rnacentral:tRNA from 1 species
GCCGGGAUGGCUGAGUGGUUAAAGCGACGGCCUCGAGAUCCCGCAAGGGCAUGUUGGCCAUUGACAUGAUAGCCGUUGGGCGUCACGCCCUCGUGGGUUCGAAUCCCACUCCCGGCG